rnacentral:tRNA from 1 species
GCACCUGUGGUGAAACGGAUAUCAUAUCUGCCUUCGAAGCAGACGUUCCAGGUUCGAAUCCUGGCGGGUGCA